GGCGAACGCUGGCGGCGUGCCUAAUACAUGCAAGUAGAACGCUGAAGGAGGAGCUUGCUUCUCUGGAUGAGUUGCGAACGGGUGAGUAACGCGUAGGUAACCUGCCUGGUAGCGGGGGAUAACUAUUGGAAACGAUAGCUAAUACCGCAUAAUAGUAGAUGUUGCAUGACAUUUGCUUAAAAGGUGCAAUUGCAUCACUACCAGAUGGACCUGCGUUGUAUUAGCUAGUUGGUGAGGUAACGGCUCACCAAGGCGACGAUACAUAGCCGACCUGAGAGGGUGAUCGGCCACACUGGGACUGAGACACGGCCCAGACUCCUACGGGAGGCAGCAGUAGGGAAUCUUCGGCAAUGGACGGAAGUCUGACCGAGCAACGCCGCGUGAGUGAAGAAGGUUUUCGGAUCGUAAAGCUCUGUUGUAAGAGAAGGACGAGUGUGAGAGUGGAAAGUUCACACUGUGACGGUAUCUUACCAGAAAGGGACGGCUAACUACGUG
rnacentral:rRNA from 1 species